GGGGACUGCGUGCCGCUACAAACUACUCGGUGCGGGUGCGAGCACGUUCUGGACGCGGUGCAGGCCCGCUCUCGGCCACGCUGCAUUGCCGCACGAGGGAUGACGUGGCGGGGGCCCCUGAGCAUCUCCGUGCGGUGACGUCAUCAUCACAGUCAGUGCGGGUCACGUGGCUGCCGGUUGACACUCACGUGACGCACUACACUUUAUAUAUUAAGGAACUCGCCAGGAUGGGCGGCGAGUGGUCUCUGCGCGUGGAAGCGGGUGUCAGAGGUGAAGAGGUGAGCCACGAGGUGCGCGGGCUACGGGAGCGCGCCGUUUACGAGUUUUGGGUGCGUGCGCACUCAGGCGCCGGCGCAGGGCCACCC